GCACUGCUGAGGAGUCCCAAAAUAAGACGAAACGGCCGUCCAGUGC
rfam:Schistosoma mansoni strain Puerto Rico chromosome W, complete genome